GAUGAACGCUGACAGAAUGCUUAACACAUGCAAGUCAACUUGAACUUCGGUUUGGGUGGCGGACGGGUGAGUAACGCGUAAAGAACUUGCCUCACAGCUAGGGACAACAUUUGGAAACGAAUGCUAAUACCUGAUAUUAUGAUUUUAGGGCAUCCUAGAAUUAUGAAAGCUAUAUGCGCUGUGAGAGAGCUUUGCGUCCCAUUAGCUAGUUGGAGAGGUAACGGCUCACCAAGGCGAUGAUGGGUAGCCGGCCUGAGAGGGUGAACGGCCACAAGGGGACUGAGACACGGCCCGUACUCCUACGGGAGGCAGCAGUGGGGAAUAUUGGACAAUGGACCAAGAGUCUGAUCCAGCAAUUCUGUGUGCACGAUGAAGUUUUUCGGAAUGUAAAGUGCUUUCAGUUGGGAAGAAAAAAAUGACGGUACCAACAGAAGAAGUGACGGCUAAAUACGUG
rnacentral:rRNA from 1 species